GACGAACGCUGGCGGCGUGCUUAACACAUGCAAGUCGAACGAUGAUCUCCCGCUUGCGGGGGUGCUUAGUGGCGAACGGGUGAGUAAUACGUGAGUAACCUGCCCUUGACUCUGGGAUAAGCCUGGGAAACCGGGUCUAAUACUGGAUACUACUUCCUGCCGCAUGGUGGGGGGUGGAGAGGGUUUUACUGGUUUUGGAUGGGCUCACGGCCUAUCAGCUUGUUGGGGGAGUAGUGGCUCACCAAGGCGACGACGGGUAGCCGGCCUGAGAGGGUGACCGGCAACAGUGGGACUGAGACACGGCCAAGACUCCUACGGGAGGCAGCAGUGGGGAAUGUUGAACAAUGGGCGGAAGCCUGAUGCAGCGACGGCGCGUGAGGGAUGACGGCCUUCGGGUUGUAAACCUCUUUCAGCAGGGACGAAGCCACUAGUGACGGUACCUGCAGAAGAAGCGCCGGCUAACUACGUG
rnacentral:rRNA from 1 species